UGCCUCCUGAGGGUUGGGAUUAAAAGUGUGCACCUCCAUGCCUGGCCUCACAUUCUGUUUUUCAAAUUAUUAUUAUUACAUUGAGAGAGAGAGAGAGAGAGAGAGAGAGAGAGAGAGACAGAGAGAGAGACACAGAGAGACACAGAGAGACACAGAGAGACACAGAGAGACACAGAGAGAGAGAGUGUGUGUGUGUGCUGGUGUGUGUGUGUAUGCUGGCAUGUGGGUAUGCUCACACAAGUAUAUACUAUGAUAUAUAUGGUAGUCAAAGGAUGACUUGUAGGAGUCAGUUCUCUUAUUCCACCACGGGAGUCAUGGGAACUGACCUCAGGUUGUCAGAAUUAAUGGCAAGUGCCUUUACCAAACAAGCUGUCUUGCUGCCCCCCCCCCCCGCCCUUUUUUUUUUUAAAUAAAAACGUCUCAUAUCCCAGGCUGGUCUUGAACUUGCUGUGUAGUUUAAGAUGACCUUGAAUGUCUUACUUUCCUGUCUCCACCUCCCAAGUGCCGGGACUACAUGCAUGUAUCACUGUGUUCAAUUCUCAGGUUAGAUUUUGUAAUCUCUGCUCUUUCAGACACGGGAGUUUCUCCAACUCUGGCAUCUUCCAGGCAAGAUCAGGAGAAGCAGGAGACUCUUGGAGAGCACCAAAGUGGUCUCCAUUUUCUCACCUUUAAAAUGGAGCUAAUCCUACAACUGCAAGGACCAAAGAUGCUGGUGUGCAAGCGGACUGCUGAAUGCCACAGGUCAUCUAAAUAGACAAGGUGGGCAAAAAGUGCCAGUAGAAAUGGGGGUCCCCCCACAGAAGAAGCUGAGGCUUCCAACAUCUUUGUUCCCAAGGGGAAGCCCCUUGGUUGAGGGCUGAGAAUCCCGGCUAUGGCAUUCUCCCAGACCAGGAAAGGUCAGAGCAAGGCCAGGGGCCCUGGGGUGCUCACCUAAGUCAGUCAGGUGUAGAGGGAGGAAGUGGGGAUUUCUGGGAGGAGGCAGGAAGGGGACAGUGGUGUGAUACUGGCCACAGGAUCACCAGAGGCCCCAUUCCAAACCUUGUUUGUCCCUCAUUGCAAACUUUGAAGUAAGCAUUCCUCCUUUUUCACAUUUGGACUCCAAGGCUCAGGCAGACUAAUUAACUUACCAGGGCUCAUACAUGACACACGGCCCAGGGUCUGUCUGGUUCUACAGCCUGCACUCCAUCAGGGCUCACUGCCUGACAAGGUUGCCAGUGACAUGGUAUGACCUUGUUCCAGAGCCAAGGAAACUGAGGCGACAAAGAACGUCAGUCUCUGCCACUCUCUGGCAGUUGUCUAGACACUAGGGCCUGGGGAGAAGUGGCUCAUAGUGAGAGUGGAGGACUGGAUAAGUGUGGGUUUGCCACAUCCUAAGGCCUUCGGUAGAGGAGUCUGGUGUCCCCUGUCCUGUACCUCAGUGGUGGAGAUGGGCAGAAGGAAGGACUCCUGAUCGUGGAGACACGGCUCAUAGGAGUUCCCAAAACUAGAAAGAAAUAUGAAAUACCUCAUAUUACAAUUCCAUAUGAGUUCUCAUCCCUUUUUUUUUUUUUUUUUUUUUUUUUUGAGACAGGGUUUCUCUGUGGCUUUGGAGGCUGUCCUGGAACUAGCUCUUGUAGACCAGGCUGGUCUCGAACUCACAGAGAUCCACCUGCCUCUGCCUCUCGAGUGCUGGGAUUAAAGGCGUGCGCCACCAACGUCCGGCUUUGUUUUCUUUUUUGAGACAGGGUUUCUCUGUGUAGCCCUGGCUGUCCUGG
rnacentral:lncRNA from 1 species